AGGAGAAAGGGAAGAAAAGACUGAGGAGUUCUGGUAGUAGCUAGAUUGCUAAGAGAUUGAAUAUUGUGGUGGAGGUGUGGAAGUGGCAGGGGGUAUUUAUGGGGUAUGAGUAUUGAAUAUUGGAAGUUUUCUUUUUUUUUAUUAUCCGACUUUGAUCAUAACCCAAAUUUAAGAUUAUUGAAAGAUCAUUUUUAGUACCAUUCACU
rnacentral:misc_RNA from 1 species